GAUGAACGCUGGCGGCGUGCCUAAUACAUGCAAGUCGAGCGAACAGAUAAGGAGCUUGCUCCUUUGAAGUUAGCGGCGGACGGGUGAGUAACACGUGGGUAACCUACCUAUAAGACUGGGAUAACUUCGGGAAACCGGAGCUAAUACCGGAUAACAUUUAGAACCGCAUGGUUCUAAAGUGAAAGAUGGUUUUGCUAUCACUUAUAGAUGACCCGCGCCGUAUUAGCUAGUUGGUAAGGUAACGGCUUACCAAGGCGACGAUACGUAGCCGACCUGAGAGGGUGAUCGGCCACACUGGAACUGAGACACGGUCCAGACUCCUACGGGAGGCAGCAGUAGGGAAUCUUCCGCAAUGGGCGAAAGCCUGACGGAGCAACGCCGCGUGAGUGAUGAAGGGUUUCGGCUCGUAAAACUCUGUUAUUAGGGAAGAACAAAUGUGUAAGUAACUGUGCACAUCUUGACGGUACCUAAUCAGAAAGCCACGGCUAACUACGUG
rnacentral:rRNA from 1 species